rnacentral:rRNA from 1 species
AUACGGGGGGUGCAAGCGUUAAUCGGAAUUACUGGGCGUAAAGCGCACGUAGGCGGAUUGGAAAGUUGGGGGUGAAAUCCCAGGGCUCAACCCUGGAACUGCCUCCAAAACUAACAGUCUAGAGUUCGAGAGAGGUGAGUGGAAUUCCAAGUGUAGAGGUGAAAUUCGUAGAUAUUUGGAGGAACACCAGUGGCGAAGGCGGCUCACUGGCUCGAUACUGACGCUGAGGUGCGAAAGCGUGGGGAGCAAACAGGAUUAGAAACCCUAGUAGUCC